rnacentral:misc_RNA from 1 species
GGUGGCUCAGCCAAUAAGACAUUCUUGUAUCAGCAAACAAAAGCUCUUCUUAAUCCAGAAAAACUCAUGAGCUUUGUCAAUGAAAAAAUUAAGACCCUGGGUACUGCAGCUUGUCCACCUUACCACUUGGCCAUCGUAAUCGGAGGAACCUCAGCAGAAUAUAAUCUAAAAACAGUUAAACUGGCCUCCACCAAAUACCUUGAUAACAUCUUUAAAUCAGGAAAUGAACAUGGUAGAGGAUUCCGUGACUUGGAAAUGGAGCAGAAAAUUCACCAGCUGACACAGAGGUUGGGGAUUGGCGCACAGUUUGGUGGUAAAUAUUUCUGUCACGAUGUCAGGGUGAUUCGAUUGCCUCGUCAUGGUGCUUCGUGUCCGGUCGGAAUAGGUGUGUCUUGUUCAGCUGACAGACAGGUGUUUGGGAAGAUAACUGAAGAGGGUGUAUUCUUGGAACAACUUGAGACAAACCCCUCCAAAUACAUGCCAGAGGUCCAGGAGAAAGACUUGACUACAGAAGUGGUUCAGGUUAACUUAAACGAUGGCAUGGAUAAGAUCCUUAAAUCUUUAGACAAAUAUCCUGUGAAGACGAGGUUAAGUUUGACAGGAACCCUUAUUGUGGCCCGAGACAUUGCCCAUGCCAAACUGCAGGAGCGCCUGAACUCAGAGGGGUCCCUGCCCCAGUACUUCAAAGACCACCCUGUCUACUAUGCUGGACCAGCAAAGACUCCUGAGGGACUUCCAUCCGGUUCUUUUGGCCCUACAACAGCUGGUCGAAUGGAUUCCUAUGUAGAUGAAUUCCAGAAGGCUGGAGGAAGCAUGGUGAUGUUGGCAAAAGGCAACAGAAGCAAACAGGUAACUAAGGCUUGUAAGAGCAAUGGUGGGUUUUACCUUGGUUCCAUUGGAGGACCAGCUGCAAUAUUAGCCCAGAACUGUAUCAAGAAAGUUGAGCAGCUCGAAUAUCCUGAAUUAGGAAUGGAGGCAGUUUGGAAAGUUGAAGUGGAGAAUUUCCCAGCAUUCAUUGUGGUGGACAAUAAAGGCAAUGAUUUUUUCAAGGAGUGGUCUGUGGAAUAGUGAUUGUGAUUGUUUAGAGAGGAGAUGUUCUCUGAUAGAAAUAAUUGCAUUUAAUUAUUAAUAAGCUAAUUAAUUUAUAAUAUUUCACCCGAACAGACACAUUGCAUGGAGGACAAUGUGCACCACUUAAUCAUGUAUCUAUUUUUCAAGAAUUUUAAUUUUAAUAAAUGUUAUAUUAUUUGU